GAACGUGUUCAGCACAGUUCUGCACAGAUGAGAGGUGUGUCGGAGGAUUAACGUUUUUACUUGCAUUCCUGUGUGAGUUAACCCUGUGUGCGUGCUUAUCAUAUGACCACACACACAUAUACACACUCACACUCCCUUUACCUGAAUGUGAAUACUGUAAUGCAAUUACCUCCCUACCAACGCUGUUCAUCCUGUUGAUGCCAUCUGCCACCUCCUUAUUAAAGUUAUUUGACCUACAUCACUGUGGAGUACCAUUCCUUCUGACCGAGGACGACUCAGUUGAAGCGUGAUCGGCAAUCAGUGCAAACAUACAUUACAAAAAUGUUGUAAAAAUCAGAGCCCAAUUAUUCAAUAUGUGUCAGAUUGCAGCAGACAGACGGAGGCAUCCUAAAAAGAGGAAGUGAAACAACAACUCGGUCCAAAAGAGAAAACGUGACAUUUUCAUUUGUUACUGAAAGAUGUUGUGAGGUAAAGAUUAGAUCAAAGAUGGAAGUAAAAGAAUGGAGCUUCACAGCCGCUCUUCUGAAGAGCAGCAGAGAACUGGGGUUGUGUUGAUAACCACAGGAACGUUUCCUGAGAUGGUUGCAUGUUUUGGUGUCUGA